rnacentral:tRNA from 1 species
GGUCCAAUGGUCUAGUGGUUAUGAUUUCUGUCUUACAAGUUAAGGGACACAGAAGGUCUCCAGUUCGAUCCUGGAUUGGACCA